rnacentral:lncRNA from 1 species
AGAAGGCCUAGAUUUUCUCCAUUCUGAAACAGGCUUCUUGUUUGACAUUGGAAAAGUCACCUAAUUUCUUCAUAUCUCACCUGGCCAUCUGUAAAGCAGAAAUGAUGUUUCCCUACUGUGUACUUGGGUAGUAAUAUUACUUUUCUAUAUUAGGCAGUGUUCACAAGUGUGAUAGGAGAACCAAUAUACUUCAAAAGGCAUUGUUAAUCUCCUGUGUGCAGAUCACUCAAAGGAUCUAGUGACUUACAAAAUGGAUAUGAGGCCUACCCUUCAGAAAAAUACAACUAAUUUAAUACUCACUUAAGUAAAGGAGACGUUUUCUACCUUCUUUAGGGAGAAUCAGUGAACAGUCAUAUCAUAAUAACUAAUGGGCAUAUCUCCAUGGUCUCUGUGAAUGUCUAUUCACAAGCAAGAAGAUGGAGUCUGGUACAUUGAAGUUAUUCCCUACUACAAGUUGGGAAGAAACAUGAAGGCACUGUACAGCACAAAGAUGUUUGAACAUAGUCAUGCCUUUAUUAUUGUUACUUGAGCAAUAUGCAAUGCUGAAAAUGUGGGUAAGAUGGAGAUCAAAAUGUAUCAUAUUUUAAUUGAAUUCAGUUAUGCUUUUCAAAUGGUUCUUCUAUCCCAGUGGGAAUGAUCCAUGGCAAGAUAAUGUUGCUUAAUAGUUUUAUUUCUAAAAUGCACCUUCUUCUCUCUAUGCAUGCAAGUGCUUUACAGCUCAAUAAAAACCAUUGUGAAACAGACA